AGCAGUCGCCACGGUAAUACAGAGGGUGCGAGCGUUAAUCGGAUUUACUGGGCGUAAAGCGUGCGUAGGCGGCUUUUUAAGUCGGAUGUGAAAUCCCUGAGCUUAACUUAGGAAUUGCAUUCGAUACUGGGAAGCUAGAGUAUGGGAGAGGAUGGUAGAAUUCCAGGUGUAGCGGUGAAAUGCGUAGAGAUCUGGAGGAAUACCGAUGGCGAAGGCAGCCAUCUGGCCUAAUACUGACGCUGAGGUACGAAAGCAUGGGGAGCAAACAGGAUUAGAGACCCCUGUAGUCCCUGUCUCUUUACA
rnacentral:rRNA from 1 species